CAGCUGACGAGCUAAUAAACAUCCAGCUAUGUGGGAAUAAAAUGGGCUAACUUAGUCCAAGUGGAUUUUAAAUAUUCAUCGCAUUAAGUAGGGACAAAGUCUUCCUUUUUAGAGAUUUUUUUUUCCAUUUGAUGUCAAUGCAUCCAGUCAGGAAGGUAAAGACCAAUGAAGGGAUCAUCAAAUGAAGGGAGAGAAGGAAAAUGUAUGCCAGUACAGAUUUUUUUCAUAUAUGGAAACCUAUGUAUUUUUGUCUUUAUUUUGGCUUAACACAGCGGCUUCCUGCUUAAUGUGGCAGGAAGUAUGGGUCCUGGAACGGUCAGCAUAGCGUUAAAAGCACAAUAAAUAGUUCAUAAUAAAGAAUUUACCUGGGGUUAAAGACCACUCUUCUCUGACUAAGAGCACCUGGAGAAGGCCAGGGCGCCUUCCUGCCUGGCUGCAGAGCCUGGGGCCGUGCCCAGAGCACUUGUGCCACCUGUGCCCAGAGGCCCUGGAGCAGUGGCCUCCCCACAGGCGCCUGUGUGGCUCCUCUGGGAUGGGGCUACAUGGAGGGCACUGGGUCUGCUCGUAGAGGAGCAGCAGAGCCCGAGGAAGCGAGUGCCUCCAGCUCCGUGCUGCAUCCCUGGAGGCAUGCACAGCCCAGAGCUUGUCAUCCACGCUCAUCUCCAAGUCCCCGAAGGAGACCUUGGGGCUACAGACUUAAAAGCUCUGGAUUUUGAUUUACUCCAAAUGAAAGUAAACAAGCUUCAGAGUAAGUAAGAAUCAGACCUCGAAUCCCACUAGGUUUGGCCCUCUCACAAGGAAUUUCCAUGCUUAUGUAGCAUGUUCUUCUGCCUCGUUCUUCUCACUUAAAUUCUAUUUCACAAUCCUAUGUGCCAGUGCAUUUUAGACCUCUCGCACAUCUGAUCUCUCUUAUCUUACUUUCAUUUUGCAAAGUAGUAGUUCACUAUGUUCACUUUCUAACGGUUUAAACAAGGAAACUCUAAGGUGUAGAAAGGCUAAGAUCACAAUCCUCAAAAGUUUAUUUGUAACUCUCAUCCUAUUUUUCUACCUCAUUCUGUAUUCAACACCUUUUCUUUCUUGUUACAUUUGUCUUUGAUCCUGGCUCAAGUCUCUCACAGUCUGUUUUACUUGGCUGUGAAGAACCAUGCCCAUAUGUAGCAUUGAGGCUGAAAGAAACUACAGAGCUGUAACUGGAGUGGGGCUGGAGAGGGGCUGCCAAAGCAAACUUAGUGCUGCCAAAAGAAUUCUCUUCUGAAGAAUAUUGCGUUUCUCGAUAGUGCCUGGUUUAUAGCUCAAACUAGGGUUAAGAAUAGCAUUGAAAGUCUGAAAUGCAGAUGGGAUGGGGCUAAAGAAGGUUUGGCAAAGGCGAAAUAAGUCUGACAAGAUAGUUUUUCUCCUAGUAAAAUAUUACUAGGGUCUGGACUGAACAGUGCCACUGACCUUUAGCUCAGCCUAGGGUUUAGGGUCAGGGCUGGUGGAAAGACCAGAGCUCCAGCUGGAGCAGAGCUGCCAAAGAAAAACAAUGGCUGCAAAGAGAUUAUCCCCCAGGACUCUUGCCAGAGUCCAGGCAAGUGCUGCAGUGGCUUUUUAGGGCUCAAUUAGGUUUAGGGUUAAGCUUGGAAAAAAAUCUCAAGGCUCCAGCUGGGCUGAGGCUGGAAAGAAGCUGCCAAUGGAGAAUUAGUUCAUCCAAAAGUUUACCCGCAGGGAAUGUGUAAUCUCUAGAUGGGCUGGAGUGCCCUUGCAAGGCCCUGCAUUGAGCAGAACUAGGAUUAGGGCUGGAAACAUGCAUUCCUCCAGGCCCUGGAGCGUGUCCAGGGCAGGGCUAUGGAGCUGGUGCAGGGCCUGGAGCACAAGGCCUGCGAGAAGCGGCUGAGGGAGCUGGGGGUGGUUGCUCUGGAGGAGGCUCAGGGGAGACCUCAUUGCUCUCUGCAGCUGCCUGAAAGGAGGUGUGGGGAGCUGGGGUCGGCCUCCUCUCACAGGUAACUGGUGAUAGGAUCAGAGGGAAUGGCCUCAAGCUGUGCC
ensembl:lncRNA